rnacentral:lncRNA from 1 species
UUUUUUUGUUUUUUGGUCAAAAGUGGUGGGGCCCACUUUUGACAAUUGGUGCAAAAUUGGUGGAGUGAUUUGGGGAGUGAUUGGAGGGGAAGUGAUUGAGGCUGAAGAAUUUGCCUAUAAAAUGACAAAUGCUUCCUCCAGUUUAGAACAACCUCAGAGAGUAACCUGAGAGAGAGAUUAAAUACUCUCGUAAUAUCCUCAUAUUUUACCAUAUAGUGAUAUCAUCGGUUGUUCCCGUGGUUUUUUCCCGAAAGGGUUUUUCCACGUUAAAUCCUUGUGUUCUCAUUUUUACUUUUCUUCUCAUAUUUCUUUUCUUUAUUGUCGAUAUAAUUUUAACAAGU